CAUAACCCAGAGGUCGAUGGAUC
rnacentral:piRNA from 2 species